CUACUUUUCUUCAUAUUCUCCACCAAAAACCUUUUGCUGCUCAUGUUUCUUCCCCCAAAAUACCUUUUAGCCAUGUGGCCCAAAUACUUUGGUGAGUACCAUAAUGUUAUUAUAAUGGUUAGGAACAAUGGCCAAAAUUAAGAUCCAAGUUGUAAUAAACUUUAUGUUAAAAAAAACUUACAUAACUACAGCACAGUUUCUAAGCCUUAUCCAAUUAGGACCCAACAUUACAGCAAGUGCUUUCUACUGACUGAAAGUUAAUUACACACAAUUCAUUCCUCAGCUUGCUACAGACCCCACUCCCCUGAGAGCUGCUUAGAUACCAGAUUGCCCCUGAAGUCCUCUCGUGACUUAUUUGGUUUUGUGGCCAGAUCAGCAGAGCAGAUGAUUCCUUGGGUCCAGUGCUGAAUGAGACUUUCAACCUCUCCUCUUCCUUAAAUCUCCAACCAUCCAGGAAUGCUUAAAACCACAAUCAGAGGGAGUGAAGAAAAAAGUCAUGAGCUGCAGACUAGAAGGGAAAAAUGUUGGCAUCUCUCCAAAGCCGAACAACCAGUGGAGAAGGGAUUGGACAGAGUCUCAGGAAUGCAGACUGUGCUCUGAGGAAAUGGCUGUUGUCUCCAGAGGGAACUUCUACAGUCUGGCUGCAGACCCAUGAGGAAAGGAGUUGACAGCUUGAAAUUUGGAAUCAGUGCCAAAUGACAGCCCUGCAAUAGGUGAGAUGAUCCAAUUCAGUGAAGGAAGGGUUUACGUUUAUUUUUAAGUGAAGACUGUCAAUCAAGUGUUGUUCAGCCUACAUGAAAUUACAUCCAUCUCAGUCAGAAUCCUCUGUGGUGACUUGUGGGAUAUUCAUUUCAAGAGUGCUAAACCUCCUGUUGGAUCAUUUCAAAGCAAUCCAAAGAUAGCAUUGCUGGUUAACCAGUGCACUCAUGCAUAAUAGGUUGUUAUAAAAUAACUGUAAAUGAGUUAAUGAGCAGUUAAUGACUUUGGGCACUAUGCCUUUUAUUGGGGUCAAUUGCAAACAGGAUGCUUUAAUUUCUUCCACAUUUAAUGUUUAAGUGCUUUUAUUGAGCUUUUUGCAUCUCAGUUGUCAGUGAAAUAUUCUUAGCAAUCUUGAAACAAUCUUUGUUAUAUUGUUGACUUUUACAUCUUGACUUUAUUUGGUAAACUGCACCAAAGCAUAUUUAUUAGACACGUAUUACUACAACACUACAAGUUAAAAGAUAUUUUUAAGAAGCAGGAUAUCAUAAGACUUGUUUUUGUUCUUCACAACACAUUUACACUGUUUUUUCCCCCCAUAAUUUCUUUCAUUUGAUCAACCAGGGUCACAGGUGUAUCAUCAGGGCACUAUAGUAUUUCAUGACAUUUUACCGCCAUCUUUCAAGCCUACAAGAUGUGGUUCUGAAUGUGAUGUGAUUUGAAACAUGAACUUUGGAUGGAGUAUCACUUUAAACUCAGGUUGGCAGUAGUACUGGAUCCUGCAACACUUCAUCACUUCAACAGCUCAUUAGAUGAGCAAUCUCUGGCAGCUGUUCAAAAGCCUUCAGGUUGCAAAAUGUGAUCUGAAAUUUCCACUUUGCAAGUUAGUCUUUUCUGUUUCUAGCUGUAAGAAAACUGUUAGAACCACUUCUUAGUUUCUUAAUUUGCUGAAACCCUUCACUACGUGAACCAUCAUUGCUUUACUUCGAUGUUCUAUACACUUUUAUCAAAUGUAGCCCUCUCUGGAUGAAUGUGGGUCAGUAGAAAACAACAGAAAAUACCUGAAAUCUCUAAAAUUAUGGUACAUGGCUGUAGUUGAGACCACUUAAAUCAAGUUCAAGACUAAUCUAAGUCUGUGCAGUUUCAAGAUAAGUCCAAAUUGGGCUCAAGACCGAGUCAGCAACAAGACCAAAGUGACAAAAAAUGUGCUAAUUCAAUAGUCUUACUGUUGUCUUUCAGUUCUAAGUCAACUGUGAUAUAGUUUCUUUCACUCAGUACAGUCAUUUGGAUUUUCUGAGAAACAAAUAUUCUUGUAAAAGGUUACAAGCUAUGGAAGUGUGAAUCGUAUCUAUCUCUUUCCACAUGCACAUUUGUGAAUAAAACUAUGACUUUUAGUCAGAAAAGGGAUAGGUUGUCAAAUGACACACUAUGGAAAAUUCAUUCAGAUUGGACAUACAAAUGUCCAAUGUAAUAGGAAUGUAGUUAUAUAACAAAGGUGAAGGUUUUAAGAUACAGCAGUGUUCAGAUUAGAACUACCACCACUGCAGUUUCUCUGUGAUGACUCAGCAGUGCUGAGACUGUACUUUUGUCUUACUCAAUUAAAGACAGU